rnacentral:rRNA from 1 species
AAUGAACGUUGGCGGCAUGGAUUAGGCAUGCAAGUCGGGGGAAUCCCAGCAAUGGGGGAACCGGCGUAAGGGGCAGUAAGGCAUGGGUACCUACCUUGGGGUUCGGGAUAGCCAUCAGAGAUGGUGGGUAAUACCGGAUGACGUCGUGAGACCAAAGAUUCAUCGCCCUUAGAGGGGCCCAUGUGAUAUUAGCUAGUUGGUGGGGUAACGGCCCACCAAGGCGAAGAUGUCUAGCGGGUGUGAGAGCACGACCCGCGCCACUCGCACUGAGACACUGGCGAGACACCUACGGGUGGCUGCAGUCGAGGAUCUUCGGCAAUGAGCGCAAGCUGGACCGAGUGAUGCCGCGUGAGCGAUGAAGGCCUUCGGGUUGUAAAGCUCUUUAGUGGGGGAGAAAAGCCGCAAGGUGUGAUCUAUCCCAAAAAUAAGCACGGGCUAAGUUCGUGCCAGCAGCCGCCGUAA